GGUAUAAGUAGUUUAUUUAUGUGAAUUAGAAUUUAAAGAAGAGGAACCAAACAUGGUAAAAUGAAGAGAGAAAAAAAAAGCAGUUGGCUAAAAAAAUGAGAAAGCAAAAUACGUUUUGCCUGGCUCUCUAACUGAAGACGCAUGCCGAAAACGGUCUGCAAAGGUGUGAGAAUCAAAAAGCACCUCUAGUGUUCGGCCUUCACCCUGAACAUGCCACGAAUUUCAUGGAAAAGGCCCCCCUGUGCUCACCCACAGGACAGCUACACUCUAGUGGGGAGAUACAGUCAGGGUCUGUAGUCCAGGUGUGACAGUCACCAUGAAAUAAAUACGAAGAUAACACAGUGGCUGGGAAAGCGGAGAGUGGCCACUCCUGUGAGGCUUCAUGGAAACACUUCCCAACAAUCAUGUAGUCACGCGCCCUGAGAAACUCUCCCCGGAAAGGUGAAGCCAAAUCUGAAUGAAGACACAUCUAUCGGGUCCAAUCAGGAGAAAGAAGGGACGGACUUCGCGAGUGUUCUCCUCCUUCAAGUUCCAGGACAGGAUUCGGCCGCACACCGAGCGCUGCCCCGCGCGCCGCCCUGGGCCCCAGCAGGAGCGUCAGGUGAGCGGGGCGCUGCCGACCGGCCUCCAGCGCACCUGAGACCCGGGCAGCCACCACUCCUCCGGGCCUCGAAGCUCUGCUCUGCUGUGACGUCCACCUCUGCUCCCAAUUAAGAAACAGAGCGAGAAACAAAAGUGAAAGCGCCUUAAGGAAAUACAGUAGUAAACAAAAUUACAAAAUUCCGUGUCUCCCUGUAAAACGUGGCCGAGUUCCUCAAUUUGGUUUUCUUUCAGCAACCGUGAACUUGGAAAAGAACAGCACGUCUAUCACGCCUUCUGAUUGUAAAUAAGGUCUGUGUGGCACGAAUCUGCCCCCGCCCGGGGCUAUGCAACUGUUCGGAAAACCAUCCUCCCUCACCCGGGAUCUCCACUUCUUCAGACGUUCGUCCUAAAUAAAUCACUCGCGAUGAACGGUCGGUCCUCAGAAAACAAACCCCAACUGGACGUCACGCCAAGGUGUGUCCCCGCCCCGAAGAGCCAGCGCAGGACCGGGAAGGACCUGGGCUCAUCGCCCGGUGUGUCGCACGCGGUGGCCACCCGCAGCGGCGGCGAAGCAAAGCGCUCAAAACUUCGGAACAGGGAGCCCUAAAACUCUUCUGCCCCCGCUGUACCAACGCGCCUCCGCGGAGCAGAUCCCAGAACUGCCGCCUCGGGGCGGGGGCCUCCGGGCUGCCAGGCCGCGGAGGGCGCGGUGCAGUCCGGCCCGGGAGGACCCGCUGUCAGCGCCGGGCGCCCCUCCCGCACGCGCCCCCACCCCCGCAGCGGCGUCGCGUCUCCCUUUUGUUUUUCUCUCUUCCCGGUCAUGAGACCCGGAAGUUUUUUUUUUUUUUUAAUCCGUCUCUCUCCCUUUCCCAAACCUCCCCCCUCCUAUCACAUGGCAGAGAUAGAAUAAAAACAGAAAAAUGGCGACGGUCACGUUGUGGCGAGCCUCGCUGCGUCAUUAGAUAAUCCUCAUGCAAAUAGCGGGAGGAACAAAGGAAGGGGGGCUCGGGACCCCCGGGGGCGCAGGUGGGUUUGGGGCGGCGGCUGGUGCGGGGAGUCCGCGCGCGCCCGACCCCGCCGUGGGGCUCUGGUCGCUGCGCUCGCCGCCCCGUCCCGCGGCGCGCCGGAGCCGGCCGGGGUCGCGGGGAGCCGUGCGGGCACCCGGAGCCGUCCCGCCGAGGCUGGCCCGGCGCGCGCGCACGCGCUCACGCAGCCGUCGGGGGCGGGGCCGGGGCGGGGGCCGAGGGCGCGUCGCUGCCCGGCGCUGGGCGCCCGCCUCUGCUGCCCCGGGGGCCGCGCUCAGGUCGCCGGCUAGGGAUCCGGCGGGAGGAGUCUGCGUGGAGGCGGCGGCAGCGGAGGAGGAGGGAGCGGAGUCCCCCAGGCGGCGGUGGCCCGGGGUGCGGAGAGCUCUUUGCGGGGCCGGGGCUGGGGCGCCGGAGCAGGGUAGGAAGGAGAAAGGGCGCGAGGCGUGCGAAGAAGGUCCGUCCGAGGGGCAUUCUUCGCUCGCACCCGCCACGCAGGGUCUCCCGGGCCGGAGGGGAGGGGUGCGGGGAGAGGGCGGAGGAAGAAUCCCCUCGGAGCUCUCGGUGCCCAGUCUGUUCCCGCUUCUGUCCCGCUCACCUGUUUAUUUCUGUCAACUAGGCGCGCGGUUUUUUUUGUUGUUGUUGUUAGGCAUGAGAGGCUGUAUCUUUUAUUAGAAAUGUUAUUGAGGAGGGGGAGCGUUGCUGGAAUUUAUUCUGGGCCAGGUCGGUUUUCAGGAAGCGGGAAGGGACUUGGCCGAGACCCGCAGCUCCUGGACGUGACCGCCCUCAGGGCUUCUUGUGUCCUCCCGGGGUGAGGAGUCCUUCCCUCGCGGUGCCACCUCUUGCUCGGCUAUCCGCACGCCAGCCGCUGUGUCCUGGAGAGAGGCCACACCUGUGCUUACUGCUGCUUGGAAAGAGAGGUGAGCUGGGAAACCAGGGAAUCCCCUGCCCAGGGGUCCUAACUAAGGCCCCUCCCCCAUCCCAGAUUGGGCCAAAAAAGUGCUGCUUUCACCUGCUGACUGCAUCGGCACGCCACCCCCCGCCGCCUUGCAAGUCGAGGUCUGCAGAAGUGUUGGGAUUUUCCCUCCUUCUGGACCUGCCCCACCCCCACCCUUGCCCCCACCCCCAUUGGCCCGCACAUAACUGCUGGGCAGAGGUCGAAGGGAAGAGAGGUGACUGCCUUCGGCCCAGUGGGCUCUCCACCUGGUCUUGUAAUCGAAGCUGCUUUCCUCUCACAGCCCCUUUUAUUCUUCCCUUAAUCUCAGCCCAGAACCAGGCCUGAGCAGCCUGGUUUUUAUCUGGCUUCCCUUCCCCAGGCCCCACCCUGGCCCCUCUUGGUUUUCCAGAGCCAAACUCGCCUCCCAAACGGACGGCACACCCAGCCCCAGUCUGACCGUUCCAGAAAGGAGGAGAAAACACUGGGAAAAAGGGACCCAGGCCCUCCUCCUGCCCCGUGCCUCCCUUCAAGCUUCCUAGCAGGGACCCAGGGCCACCUCCUGCCCGUGCCCCUCUUCAAGCUUCCUAGCAGGGAUCCAGGGUUGUCUCCUGCCCCAUGCCCUCUUCAAGCCACCUAGACAUUUGACCAGCUGUCUUACCAGCUGUCCCUCCGACCCUCCUUGUCCCCCGUCCUGUGAUAGAUAUUUGGGGAGAGGGGUGGAGAAAAAUCAUCACCCCUUUUUCUAGAGUGAGGUGUUUUUCUCCUUCCCAGGCUUCUCACUUAGGAGACGGUUAGCAUGUAAAAUACGUAAAUAUGUUUGCAUGCUUAUUUGAACCUGUUUCCUUACUAGCUAGGGAGUAGCUAGCUAGUGCUGUGAAGGGAAGGAGGAAAGAGGUCAGAAGUGGCACUUCAUUCUCCCCUCCAAGCAUCCUCGGAGUUGCCAAAGACCCUCUGUCAGAGCCGGCAGGCUCUCUUCCAUGACAUCACCACCUAAGCCCUUCCAACUUUAGCUUCGGAACAGGAAGAAGGCUCAAAAUAGAACUACCUUAGGAAUCCGGCUCCUUUAAAAGAUAAACAUUAAAAUGAGCUGUAGGAAGGACACUGAACUUGAGUGAGAAGGGAGGGAAACUGGUGACUUUGUGACUGGUUCCUUCUGGGAAGGCUGGGGCGGUUCUUGUGGUGAAUUUCAGAAGAGCUUCCCAUGACAGACUUGGGUACCUAGACCAAUGAAUGAUGAAUAGGAUGGCUGGGGAUUCACUGUCUGAGUUGCUGGUAUGUUUUGGUAUGUCAACAGUAAUGAGAACCUCUCAGAGUGGAUUACGAAGGGGCUCUUGGGAUGUUCUCUGCCAAGUGGAGGUAAGAGGCCAAAGCUUGUUGGGAGAGACUGGAGGGAACAUUUGCGGGAGGCAGAGUCAGCGUGCAGUGACAGCUGCUGGACUGAAAGUUGAGAGGCUCAUUGUAAACAGUGAUUGUAAUUUUUGCAGGGUGACUAAUAUCCUGGACAAAGAAGUAACGGUGUCAGGGUUUUCCACCUUUACCUUGGAUAUUAACUUCCUCUCCUUUACCUUGGAUAUUAACUUCCUCUCCCAUCUCAAAUGUCUCUUUCUGGCCCUGAAUCAAGGUGUAUCAUUCUGAGUUAAAAGAGUUACUUAGUCUUGAGAAGGGCUGCUAUAAAUCAUCACUGAAGUAGUGACAAUUUAAGGUUAGAAAUAGGGCAGAAAAAUGCAUGGCAUAAUCUGGGCGCUUGGGGGUUGCUGGAAAAGAACUUGCAGGUGAGUGAGGUGACAUCUUCUGGUUCAGGCUUAUGAGGAUCCAGGUGAGAGACAGACUUCUAUACCUGUGAUAAUCAGGGUAGCCACGAGCCAUGUGUGGCUAUCAGCCACCUGAAAUAUGGCUAGGGUAAAGAGCUGGGUUUUUCCUUUUUAAUGUUUAAAAACAAUACUUGGUUCACUUAUUGGAAGACUUAGGGAUGUUUGGAAACAUGCUAGGGCAUAUACAUCUACAUUUUGAACUGCAAGGUUUUUGAGAUCUCAAUACAGAUCAUUUCCGAUGAACAUUUAAGGUUUGAAUUGAGAUGUGAUCCAAGUGUAAGAUUUUCUGCAGAUUUCAAAGACUUAGUGCCAAAAAAGCUCAUUAAUAAUUCUAUAUUCAUUACCUGUUCAAAUGAUAAUAUUUUGGAUAUGUUGAGUUAAAUAAAAAAUACAUUGUUAAAGUUAAUUUCAUCUGUUUGUUUUUAAGCAUGGCUACUGGCGAAUUUUAAAUUACAUGUAUAGCUUGCAUUGUACUUUUGGAUAGCUCAGGACUCAAUUACUGAUUUUUGUCCACAGAUUAAUUUCAAAAGUGGGGACUCUGUAAAAUACUAGUAGUCUGUGUUUAUCAGCCAUGUACUUGCCGCUGCUGCAUUCCAUGUGAAGACUUAGGGACCCCAGAGUAUUAUUGUAUUACCAUGAUAGUGUUUGAAAUUUUGUAGUGACUACUUAUAUUUCUAUGCAGGAGUUGCCAUUUCCUACUGGGGAAGAAGAAUACAAAAGUCCAGGGUUCUAGAGGGACUAGGAGAUGGAAAAUUGGGGUACCAACACACCUGGCUGGUGUUGCUUUUGUAACAGAUUUUUGAGUGUAGCAAAAUAAAUGAGAAAACACAGUAACACUUGUGACAGCUGGCGGCAUUUUAGUGAUUCCCCUCACCUCUCACUCCCCUCCAUUUAUUUUCUUCUUUGCUUUCCUUCUUCUGCUUUCUGCCCCACACAUAAGGGCUUUACCAGUGGCAGUUGGACUCACAAGGUUGCUAAUUCUUUUCCUCAAAAACAGUACACUGCUGACAUGACUAGAGAUGGUGCUGUCUUUGGGUUUUGUCUAAUGAGAUUCAGAAAUGACUCUGGCAGGAUUUAGGAGCCACUUAGUACUUCUUGUGGAUGAGGGACACUCCUGCCUGAGACCUGGCAGGCAGAAACUGGAAAGAUACGUGUACACUUGUUGAUCACUUGUUUAGAGACUUCUCAAGAAAUGAAGAGGUUCAUCAAUUGAACAGCUGUGGAGCUUGCAUUUUGUGGAAAUAAAGGUUUGUGGAGGGACAUGAAUAAAAAUUUCUGACUUUAGGAAGCAUGUCCUGUUGACCCAAGGAAAUCAGAUGUAAGCAGUCCAAGAGAAGUGCCUCUCGCAGCCCUAUGCUAGCUAGCUGCCGGGCCACAGCCACACGUGUGUGGGUACAGUGUACUCACUGUACAUGGGUAGGAAUAGAAACUUCAGGAGUGGCAGAUGCCAUAGCAAACUGGAGUGUAACUGUGUUUCUGGAACAGCCCAAGGCUGUGGAACUGGAGGGCAGUGCAGACCUUCAGUGCUGGCUCCUUCAGCCGUCCAUGAAGGGAAUUGGAAGUCCAAGCCCCAGCACUUUUAAAUUGUGGUGCUGCGGUAGUGAGGAGGUCACGGAUCAGCCAGGGACCAGGAGGGUUGCUAGAGAUGGUCAGUCAGGAUUGAUCAUUUUGAAGUUAGCUAGUAUAUAAAGGUGACUUACUCGCAAACUAUAAAAUCUAAAUUUGGGUUGGGGGGAGAAUGUGAUCUGGAGCAAAAUCAGAAAGUGUAUUAACUGGAGUAGUCAGUUGGAUUAAAAAUAUGUGUGCCCGGUUCACAUGUGAAGGAGAAAGGCCCGUGGAAUAGAGUAUGUUGGGUGCACCACUCAUUUCUAAAUGUUUAGUUUCCUGCAUGCUUUUUGGACUAAAACCUGGUCAGUGCCAGGGAGGAAGCUCACCCCUCUCUCUGGGUUCCUGUCUGUGUGCCUUCUGCUCUACAUGACCCACUCUGGUUAUGUCAGUGCUCGAAGCAGGUGCAGUGACGACACUGCCUCUGGGAUCACCCGGUUGGUGCUUCUUUUUGAGAGUCAGGCCGAUUUUGCACAGGACAGUGGUUCUUAGCUUUUCCUGGCUUUUUUAGCCAAUUUCUUUCUCCAUAAAAGAAGAUAAUCCAUAGCCCCCUUAACACCAGGUUUCCCACAAAUCUUUGGCACAAGUUGGUUUCUAAAAAAAUUCAACAAAACUGCUAUAAAAUGCGAGUGUACUUCUGUGUACUUCUAUAGAGCAGUAGUUGACAGUUGAGUACCUUCUCUUUACACAUUUAUAACAUCACAAGUUGGAGUAUGAUUUUCAAGUUGGGGGAAAAAAUCACUUCAUUUAAAAGACCAGUGGAUUUAAAUAAACUAUUGUUUAAAGGUACUUUGAAAUAUUUUGCAUUUCCAGCAACAUUUUCAUGGUACCUCCAAUUAUUUAUAUAUAAUCAGAUUUUUAAAUUAAAACUUAAAAAUCAUAUUUUCAGUUUAUAGAUAAGAACAUAACAUGCUUUUUGAGUAUACAUUGUACUCCACAACAUUUAAUUAUUUAUUUAUUUGUUGAGACACAGUUUUGCUCUGUCACCCUGAGCAGAGUGCAGUGGCAUCAUCACAGCUCACAGCAACCUCAAACUCCUGGGCUCAAGCUAUCCUCCUGUCUCAGCCUUCCGAGUAACUGGUACUACAGGUCCAUGUCACACGCCCAUCUAGUUGUUCUAUUUUUAGUACAUACAGGGUCUUGCUUUUGCUCAGACUGGUCUUGGAAAUCUGGGCUCAAGGAAUCCUCCUGCCUCCGCCUCCCAGAGCGCUGGUGUUACUGGUGAGAGCACUACGCCUGGCCUGUACCCCACAUUAUUUAAAAGCAACUUCUUUGAUACACUAGUUUUCUGUAAGUACCUGAUUUUCUAGAUAAUUAUACAUUAAUAGUUGAUGUAUGCAUUCUGAAAAAAUGGUUCCUAGUUAUAUCAUUUUUAAUGCCAGAACAACUAGUUUGAAAUCAUUUUGGCUUCUGGGGAGCAGUGCCAACCUCCCCUCAUUGUGCAGUAAAUUUCUCACUGUGGCAUGAGAACCUGUAGUUACUGAUUUUUACAUUUAAAACAACUCUGGCUUGGCACCUGUACCUCGGUGGCUAGGGUACUGGCCACAUACACCCAGGCUGACGGGUUCACACCCAGCUAGGGCCUGCCAAACAACAAUAACUACAAAAAAAAAAAAAAAAAAAAAUAGCCAAGUGUUGUGGCAGGCACCUGUAGUCCCAGCUACUUGGGAGGCUGAGGCAAGAGAAUCACUUAAGGGCAAGAGAACCUCUUAAGCGCAAGAGUUUGAGGUUACUGUGAGCUGUGACGCUACAGCACUCUACCCCGGGCAACAUAAUGAGACUAUCUCAAAAAAUAAAUUUAGGGUGGCAUCUGUGGCUUAGUGAGGAGGGCACCGGACCUGGCCCCCGCCAAACUGCAACAAAAAAAUAGCCGGGCAUUGGCAGACGCCUCUGGUCCUAGCUACUUGGGAGGCUGAGGCAAGAGAAUCGCCUAAGCCCAGGAAUUGGAGGUUGCUGUGAGCUAUAACACCACGCACUCUACUGAGGGCAAAAAAGUGAGACCCUGUCUCUAAAAAAAUAAAAAAAAUAAUAAAUUUAAACAAUUCAAUUCUUAGAUGGAAAAUAUAUUGAAAAAAAUAUUUCUGAUAGAUUCAAUUUUUUUUUCUUUUUUUAAGACAGUGCCUCAAGCUGUCACCCUGGGUAGAGUGCCCUGGCAUCACAGCUCACAGCAACCUCCAACUCCUGGGCUCAAGUGAUUCUCUUGCCUCUGCCUCCCACGUAGCUGGGACUACAAGUGCCAGCCACAAUGCCUGGCUUUUUUUGGUUGCAGCCGUCAUUGUUUGGCAGGCUGGGGCUGGAUUCAAACCCACUAGCUCAGAUGUAUGUGGCUAGUGCCUUAGCCACUUGAGCCACAGGUGCCGAGCCAAUAUUCAGUUUUUUAAAAUGAACAUUUAUCAGCAGAGUCAUUUCCAAGAAGAAACAAAAUUUAGGUUUUUGACCUGGUUUUAUUUAUAAAAUACUGUUAUGAAAACAGAUUUUUCUUCCUUAAAGGUGCUUUAGGAUUAAUCUGAGAGAAUGUUAAUUAAAAUAACUGUUCGGAAUCAUGAUAAUUUGCUUUUAAUUAUUAUGGUUGCUUGGCUUUUUUCUAAUUUAGAUAGAAAAAAAUGAAAGAAAUAUUUAAAAAGGAAAUAUCCUUUACUUAAUGUACCAAAAAUGUUUAGUUGUGUGGGUUUUAGUGAUGGCUAAGAGAGUGCAUUUCACCUUUGUAGCACACAGCAGACACUUGGCUCAUCUUUGUGUGCUCAUGCUGUUCAGCUGCAAGGACACAGCUGGUGUGGGUGGGGUCAGGACUGAUGCGACUUCCAGGCUGGUGGGGACGGGGCUGAUCUGACUCUCACACGGGUAGGGACCAGGCUGAUGACUGCUGGGUGCUUUGGGGCGAUGGAUUGUCCCCACACAUCGUACGCCAGAAUGCAGUUGUUUGGACUGAGUGUCUGCCAAAAGCUGACAGAAUGUGUGGUCAGAAGUGUUAGGUGGUAUCUAAAAUCUAUUUUAAAAUUCUCAACAGUGUCUUUGUUCACAUGACAGAUGUUUAUAAUUUGGGUGAAAAUGUGCCACUAUUUCCAGGAACCAGUGUCACGGGACCAACUGUGUUUUUGGUCUUCUUUGCCCCCUGGUGUCCCCACUCAGCAUUACAUCCGCUGGCUGCAGCCCCUUCUAGAUGUUUUUGUGCUUUAGAGAAUAUUUUUAAUUUGUGUGUAGGUGGAUUACUUCACUGAGUAUUACUUGUCUGAAGAUAAGGUCAUUUUCAUAGUACAUAAAGUUAAUAAUUGAGCUAGACUCACCUUACUCUUUUCUGGCUUCUGCUGAUAGAACUGAUUCACCUACCUGACUUACCUGAAGUAUGUUGUUAAUAUUUAAUCUACAUGCGAUGAGUGUUUGAAAUUGAACAAAUGCCUGAUGGAAAAGUUAUUUUUCAAAUAUCUGUCAAGUUCCACUCAAACUGAAAUAACCUGAGACCUUAAUGACCGACAUGGAAAAAACCCAAGUGAAUCAUGGUGUUAAUAAGUUGAUAUUCCAAUGCCUCAAUUCCAAGUUCAGACUUUUUUUGUACUUUUUAUUAAAAGUAAAGAAUCAUCCUCGAGGUGACUAUAAGGUACAUGUGAUUUCAAAGCAAGUGAUGGGUAUGUGUUAAUUGUUAAAAGCCUUUUCAGAGGUGGCUGAUGAGUCGUGUACCAGCAUAACUGUGGAAUUGACAUUAACUGUUGUGAGAAACAUCAGUGUCACCAAUUUGAGCUCAUUCUCAGCACUCAGCAAGAUGCAUGAAAGUCAAGUUUUGUUAAUGUACAUUUCCUCUUAUAGCAUAAAACCCCACUAGUUUCUGCUUCAUGAUAUGAAUUACUGAGAAAAGAAAAAAAAAUCAUAAGCAAAGAGAUGUUUUCAGAAAUCCUUCAGUUUGUAUAAAUUUUGUAAACUGAAUAUGCAGUUGAUGGAGCUGGACGGUCUGAGGGGGGUAAGAAUGACGAUGCUGGGGGGGUUCUGGGCUGGUUCCCGUGCCUUAGCAGUGUGGUCUCAGGUAACGCACCUGACCUACCCCUUGGGCCUUUCCUCCUCCCCUACCUGUAAAACGAGGUAAUAAUAUCUAACCUGGUUCCAGAACCCUUUUUAAAUAAAAAAUGAGUAAUUCAUUGCCAGCCUUCAGGAUUCUUGUGAAAAGCAGCUGAGGAGAAUACACAGGACGUUCUGAGUGCUGAGCAGCAUUACUGCUGGGUUGGGUCAUGAGCGCUGUGUGGACAGGAGCCGCGUCUUGUUCAGCUUGGUUUCCUGAGCACCUAGAUGAGGAGCAGAGCAGUUGCAGCGUGUCCUGAGGUGGGGGCACAGCGGCGCAUCCUCGCGUAAGGGAUGCCGAGGAGCCGGGCAGGGAGCUGCUGCACGGGCGUCGGAGCCGGGGGCCGGGCGCGGUUGUCCGUCCUCACAGGUGUGCGAGCUGUGCGUCCUCUGCCUUCUGAUAAUAACCCAGCUGCGCCUUUUAAUGUUUCAGCCUCACCACUCGUUGGGCUCUGAUCCUCCCUUGUCUUCUGCCACUUGACGCCUCUGACCAGAAGGGGAUCUCUCCAUCUUCACGGGCAGCCAGCAGGAAGGCCGCUGCUGCCCGGCGUGGUGACCGACAGGCCGCCCUGGCUCAGUUAUCACAGUGCUGAUGCUGUCCGCUCUGAAGGUACAGUACUGUGAUAACUGAAGGAUGGCGGCCGCCUCGCUCCACGGAGGGCCCCGGCGCCCCGAAGACAGAGCGCGCGGAGCACGGAGGGGGAGAGAGAGCCGGGGACCCAGAUGGGGGUGGGGGAGAGUGAAUGGGGGUCGUCCUCAUGACC